GCUGUGCCAUUGUGCUAGGUGCUGGGCAUAGGAGUGAAAAAGACACCAAAGUCCUCAGUUCCAGGGAAUUAAUUUUUCUAGUAAACAAACAAACCAAAAAACAAGGAAAGUCAUCAUUACUAUGGAGAAAACAACACUGGAUCUUGUCAUAGCGACUGAGGCCUCCACAGAAGUGUCUUCCUUUGGCUUUGGUAUCAAGGUAAUGCUGGCCUCAUAAGAUAUGGGGUCUCACUAUGUUGUCCAUGCUGAUCUCAAACUCCUGGGCUCAAGCAAUCUUCCCACCUCAGCCUCCCAAAGUGCUGGGAUUACAGGAGCACAAAGGAAAGGCCAUGCGAGGACACAGGGAGAAGACAGGCCCCUACCAGUCAGGAAGGGAGCCCUCACCAGAAACUGAGCUGGCCAGCACAAUGGUCUUGGACUUGUAGCUCCAGAACUGUGAGGAAAUAAAUUUCUGUUGUUGAAGCC
rnacentral:lncRNA from 1 species